AUACGGAGGAUGCGAGCGUUAUCCGGAUUUAUUGGGUUUAAAGGGUGCGUAGGCGGGUUGCCAAGUCAGGGGUGAAAUCCCGGAGCCUAACUCCGGAACUGCCUUUGAUACUGGCAGUCUUGAAUUCGGAUGCCGUGGGGGGAAUGAGUAGUGUAGCGGUGAAAUGCAUAGAUAUUACUCAGAACACCGAUUGCGAAGGCAUCUCACGAAUCCGACAUUGACGCUGAGGCACGAAAGCGUGGGGAUCAAACAGGAUUAGAUACCCUGGUAGUCCACGCAGUAAACGAUGAUGACUAACCGUCGGCGAUAGACAGUCGGUGGCCAAGCGAAAGCGAUAAGUCAUCCACCUGGGGAGUACGACCGCAAGGUUGAAACUCAAAUGAAUUGGCGGGG
rnacentral:rRNA from 1 species